UGUUCUCAAAGAUGUGCAAAGUCUGCCAAUCCGCACUUUGCCAGCGACUAAGCUAUGGCCAAAACCCGUCUCAUUCUGAGAAGAGCCC